rnacentral:rRNA from 1 species
AUUGAACGCUGGCGGCAGGCCUACCACAUGCAAGUCGAAAGGGUGGCGGACGGGCAAGUAAUGUCUGGGCACCUGCCUGAUGGAGGGGGAUAACUACUGGAAACGGUAGCUAAUACCGCAUACCAUCAGAUGGGCGCAGAUGGGAUUAGCUUGGUGGUGGGGUAAGGGCUCCCCAAGGCGACGAUCCCUAGCUGGUCUGAGAGGAUGACCAGCCACACUGGAACUGAGACACGGCCCAGACGCCUACGGGAGGCAGCAGUGGGGAAUAGUGCACAAUGGGCGCAAGCCUGAUGCAGCCAUGCCGCGUGUAUGAAGAAGGCCUUCGGGUUGUAAAGUACUUUCAGCGGGGAGGCGUUACCCGCAGAAGAAGCACCGGCUAACUCCGUGCCAGCAGCCGCGGUAAUAC